CCCGAGGAAAAGAAAUCAACCGAGAUUCCCCCAGUAGCGGCGAGCGAACGGGGAGGAGCCCAGAGCCUGAAUCAGCAUGUGUGUUAGUGGAAGCGUCUGGAAAGGCGCGCGAUACAGGGUGACAGCCCCGUACACAAAAGCGCAUGUGCUGUGAGCUCGAUGAGUAGGGCGGGACACGUGGUAUCCUGUCUGAAUAUGGGGGGACCAUCCUCCAAGGCUAAAUACUCCUGACUGACCGAUAGUGAACCAGUACCGUGAGGGAAAGGCGAAAAGAACCCCGGCGAGGGGAGUGAAAAAGAACCUGAAACCGUGUACGUACAAGCAGUGGGAGCACAGGUUUACCUGUGUGACUGCGUACCUUUUGUAUAAUGGGUCAGCGACUUAUAUUCUGUAGCAAGGUUAACCGUAUAGGGGAGCCGGAGGGAAACCGAGUCUUAACCGGGCGUUAAGUUGCAGGGUAUAGACCCGAAACCCGGUGAUCUAGCCAUGGGCAGGUUGAAGGUUGGGUAACACUAACUGGAGGACCGAACCGACUAAUGUUGAAAAAUUAGCGGAUGACCUGUGGCUGGGGGUGAAAGGCCAAUCAAACCGGGAGAUAGCUGGUUCUCCCCGAAAGCUAUUUAGGUAGCGCCUCGUGAAUUCAUCUCCGGGGGUAGAGCACUGUUUCGGCUAGGGGGCCAUCCCGGCUUACCAACCCGAUGCAAACUGCGAAUACCGGAGAAUGUUAUCACGGGAGACACACGGCGGGUGCUAACGUCCGUCGUGAAGAGGGAAACAACCCAGACCGCCAGCUAAGGUCCCAAAGUCAUGGUUAAGUGGGAAACGAUGUGGGAAGGCCCAGACAGCCAGGAUGUUGGCUUAGAAGCAGCCAUCAUUUAAAGAAAGCGUAAUAGCUCACUGGUCGAGUCGGCCUGCGCGGAAGAUGUAACGGGGCUAAACCAUGCACCGAAGCUGCGGCAGCGACACUCAGGUGUUGUUGGGUAGGGGAGCGUUCUGUAAGCCUGUGAAGGUGGCCUGUGAGGGUUGCUGGAGGUAUCAGAAGUGCGAAUGCUGACAUAAGUAACGAUAAAGCGGGUGAAAAGCCCGCUCGCCGGAAGACCAAGGGUUCCUGUCCAACGUUAAUCGGGGCAGGGUGAGUCGACCCCUAAGGCGAGGCCGAAAGGCGUAGUCGAUGGGAAACGGGUUAAUAUUCCCGUACUUGGUGUUACUGCGAAGGGGGGGACGGAGAAGGCUAUGUUGGCCGGGCGACGGUUGUCCCGGUUUAAGCGUGUAGGUGUGUGUUCCAGGUAAAUCCGGUUCACUUUAACACUGAGGCGUGACGACGAGGCACUACGGUGCUGAAGCAACAAAUGCCCUGCUUCCAGGAAAAGCCUCUAAGCAUCAGGUAACAUCAAAUCGUACCCCAAACCGACACAGGUGGUCAGGUAGAGAAUACCAAGGCGCUUGAGAGAACUCGGGUGAAGGAACUAGGCAAAAUGGUGCCGUAACUUCGGGAGAAGGCACGCUGACACGUAGGUGAAGUGAUUUACUCAUGGAGCUGAAGUCAGUCGAAGAUACCAGCUGGCUGCAACUGUUUAUUAAAAACACAGCACUGUGCAAACACGAAAGUGGACGUAUACGGUGUGACGCCUGCCCGGUGCCGGAAGGUUAAUUGAUGGGGUCAGCGCAAGCGAAGCUCCUGAUCGAAGCCCCGGUAAACGGCGGCCGUAACUAUAACGGUCCUAAGGUAGCGAAAUUCCUUGUCGGGUAAGUUCCGACCUGCACGAAUGGCGUAAUGAUGGCCAGGCUGUCUCCACCCGAGACUCAGUGAAAUUGAACUCGCUGUGAAGAUGCAGUGUACCCGCGGCAAGACGGAAAGACCCCGUGAACCUUUACUAUAGCUUGACACUGAACAUUGAGCCUUGAUGUGUAGGAUAGGUGGGAGGCUUUGAAGUGUGGACGCCAGUCUGCAUGGAGCCGACCUUGAAAUACCACCCUUUAAUGUUUGAUGUUCUAACGUGGACCCGUUACCCGGGUUGCGGACAGUGUCUGGUGGGUAGUUUGACUGGGGCGGUCUCCUCCUAAAGAGUAACGGAGGAGCACGAAGGUUGGCUAAUCCUGGUCGGACAUCAGGAGGUUAGUGCAAUGGCAUAAGCCAGCUUGACUGCGAGCGUGACGGCGCGAGCAGGUGCGAAAGCAGGUCAUAGUGAUCCGGUGGUUCUGAAUGGAAGGGCCAUCGCUCAACGGAUAAAAGGUACUCCGGGGAUAACAGGCUGAUACCGCCCAAGAGUUCAUAUCGACGGCGGUGUUUGGCACCUCGAUGUCGGCUCAUCACAUCCUGGGGCUGAAGUAGGUCCCAAGGGUAUGGCUGUUCGCCAUUUAAAGUGGUACGCGAGCUGGGUUUAGAACGUCGUGAGACAGUUCGGUCCCUAUCUGCCGUGGGCGCUGGAGAACUGAGGGGGGCUGCUCCUAGUACGAGAGGACCGGAGUGGACGCAUCACUGGUGUUCGGGUUGUCAUGCCAAUGGCACUGCCCGGUAGCUAAAUGCGGAAGAGAUAAGUGCUGAAAGCAUCUAAGCACGAAACUUGCCCCGA
rnacentral:rRNA from 5 species